rnacentral:tRNA from 1 species
GUCCCAAUCGUAUAGUGGUUAAUACAUCACGUUGUGGCCGUGAAGACCCCGGCUCGAAUCCGGGAAGGGACA